rnacentral:lncRNA from 1 species
AUAGCUUCUUCUGGAUGUUAGAGAGAGAAGCUGAUCGAAGCUCUCUGCAACCUUAGGAGCACGGCGGAUACGAGAGUGGAAGAAGGCGAUGUUGGUGAGAACAAGUAAAGAGGUAAGAAAAAUGCUAUCUUUCUUUAUUUAUGUGAAAGUGAAUGUUUCGUUCUUUUUCUUCUUACAAAAAAGAUGGGGAGAGCUCUAUUUAUAGAGCUCUUUGGGGAAACACUGGGGUAACUUACAUAACAAGGAAAAACUAACAAAUAAAAGGUUGAUUACUGUCAUUUUGACGGUAGUCUAAAACUUAAUAGCCUCUCCUCAAGUUGUAUGUUGUAUACUCACCAAGCUAAGUUUGGGAACUAUAGAUAUGAACCUAACACAGUGGGGAAACUUGGUGAAGAUGUCGGCCAACUGUUCAUCGGAUCAGACAGGAAGAAGAUGCAGAAGAUUUGCCUGUAUCUUUUCAUGAACAACAUGGCAGUCAAGCUCUAUAUGCUUAGUCCGUUCAUGAAAGCUCUGGUUAUGAGCUAUGUGUCUUGCUGACUUGUUGUCACAAUAUAGAACCGAGGUCCCUGCUUCCUGUAUGUGAAGGUCUUUUAGUAGAUAGUGAAUCCACUUUAUCUCACAUACAAUGGCUGCUAAAGCAUGAUAUUCCGCUUCGGUGGAGGAUCUGGAUACAGUUCUUUGCUUCUUAGAUUUCCACGAAAUGAGAGAUGAUCCAAGUAAAACACAAAAUCCCGUAGUGGAUCUUCUAGUAUUCAGACAUGUUGCCCAAUCUGAGUCGCUAAAAGCCUUUAGAUGUAUUAGAGAGUCAGCGACAAAGAAAAAUCCUUUUGAAGGCUUAAAUUUUAUAUACCUGAGGACAUGUUGGACAACAUGAUAAUUAUAGUUAGUGGGAAAUUGGAUGAAUUGACUAAGUAAAUUAACGGAAAAACACCAAUCAGGUCUGGUAUUAGUGAGAUAGAGCAACUUCCCUGUCAAUCUUUUGUAGGAAUCAGGGUCAUCUAGGUAGUUGUCCAUCUUAUACAACGAACUUGUGUCACUCAAGAAGGGGGUAAUGGAUGGUUUGCACCCCAGCAUUCCUGUUUCCUCAAGAAUGUCCAAGGCAUACUUUCUUUGGCAUAAAUGAAUCCCUCUUUUAGAUCUGGCCACUUCCAACCCUAGGAAGUAUUUAAGUUCUCCUAGAUUCUUUAUUAUGAACUUUUUGUGCAAAAGUUCCUUUAUGUGAUUGAUUUCUGCCAUGGAGUUUCCUUCCAACACAAUGUCAUCAACAUACACAAGUAGGGCAGUGAAACCUGUAGGUGUUCUUUUGAUAAACAAUGAGUGAUCAGAUUUAGAUUGAGCAUAAUCAACAGAAAUGAGAAAAGAAGAUAAUUUCUCAAACCAUUGCCUGUUGGCUUAUUUCAGCCCAUAUAGGGACUUGGUUAGCCUACAAACUUAACCCUUUUUAUGGACACCAAGACCAGAUGGUGGCUCCAUGUAAACCUCUUCAUUUAGGUCCCCAUGUAGAAAGGCAUUGUCUACAUCAAGUUGAUGGAAAAACCAAUUAUUUGUGGCUGCAAGGGCAAUAAGCAAUCUCAUAGUAGUGAGCUUGGCCACGGGAGAAAAGGUGUCCAGGUAAUCUAUUCCUUCCAGUUGAGUGUAUCCUUUUGUUACCAAGCGAGCUUUAUACCUUUCUAUAGUACCAUCAGCCUUAUAUUUGGUUUUAUACACCCAUUUACAACCUAUGGGGGUUUUUCCCGGGGGUAGCUGUGUCAAAUACCAUGUGUCAUUGUGUUGUAGGGCUUUGAUUUCUCUCUACAUAGCUUCUGCCCAUUCAUGCAUGCCUUUUGCUUCAUUGUAAGUUUGAGGUUCAUUAGUCCCGGUGAUAGCCAUGGUGUACUUCAAGUGUUUUUCUGACAAAUUAUCACAACACAAUAGAUUAGAGAUCGGAUAUGGUGUUUUAAAACUAUUUUUCAUAGAUAAGGAUUAAUUAACCUGAUGCACAUAGUUAUUUAGAUAUCCUGGAGUCCUUGUAACCCUGUUAGACCUUCUGUAGCUAUGAUUUUCUUGAUUCUUAUCUGUGUUGUCAUUGUUAUCUUUGUCAUCAGCCAUCUGGUGUCUCUCUCUUUGGUUAUCAACAUCUAUCUCAUCAUGUUUUUUAUCAUCAGUGUGGUUGUGGUCACCUAGAAGGUCAUUGAGAGAAGCAAUUUGGUCUUCUUCAGUGUCAGCAGUUUCUCUAUCGCCUUGCUGACUUUUGUAGGGGAAGAUGUCUUCAUAAAAGACAACGUUUAUGCUUAUAAGAAGCUCUUUGGUGUUGAUAUCUAGAAUAAUGUAACCCUUGACACCACUCUUGUAGCCAAGGAAAAUUCCUUUUCUAGCUCUUGGAUCAAGUUUACUCCUGUUGUUCUCAAGAGUCGAAGCAAAACACAAACAUCCAAAAGUUUUGAGGUCUAAAUAGGUAGGGGGGAGGUCAUAGAACAGGUCGUGGGGUGUCUUGUUACCAAGAAUGGGAGAAGGAAACCUAUUUAUUAGGUAGACCGCAUGACUAACAACAUAAGACCAAUAUGCAUUAGGAAUAUCAGAUUGGAAGAGAAGACCACAAGUCACAUUAAGUAUGUGUUGAUGCUUUCGCUCCAUAACAGAAUUUUGUUCAGGAGUUUCAACACAACUCCUUUGGUGAUUGAUGCCAUGUAAAUCAUAAAAAUUCUCACAAUUAAAUUCAGGUCCAUUAUCUGAUCUAAUAGUUUUAAUCAUUUUGUUAAAUUAAUUUUUAACCUUAACAAUAAAAUUCCGCAGAAAUUUCUAGUUUGGCCCUUAUUGUUCAUUAAAAAAAUCCAAGUUUGUCUACUAUAGUCAUCAACUAUGGUGAGAAAGUAUCUAUGACCAUGAACAGAAAUAGUGGAAAGAGGACCCCAUAUAUCACAGUGGUUGUAGAAAUACUUCUAGAAAAAGGUAGUUUGUGUUGUUUAGCAUAGUGGCAGGUGAUGUUUCUGCAAAACCAACGGCAAGUGCACCGGUCGCAGCGUAGCAAGUGAUAAAUAUCGUUCUCUCCCAAGGGACUUGUGCAACACAUGACAAUUCUUCCUUUUAUAACUCAAUUAGACAACAAAGUGCACAAAAACAACGCAAGAAACUCUUUUUGGUAUUUUAUCAAACAGUUGGUGUGCAAGGAAUUUAACAUAGCGUAUUUAUAAUUUGUCAAGACUAGAAUUCAUCCAUUUCAUUCUCAUGCAUUCACAAACAUCUCAAUUNNAUNNAAUAAGUAUUCAAUUUCAAUUCUAGGUUCAAUCAUAUUUCUCAAUACUUCAAGAACCACAAUUCAUGCCAUGGGUGAUCAAGCCACAACAAGCAUUAAGCGUAGAAAUCAAAUACUAACAUGAAUUGGAAAAGCAUAUAUCAUUAACAUCACAAAAUACAUAAGAAUUCCAUGUUUUACAACUAAUCUCAACAAAUAGGAAAAGCCCUCCAUGGAGGAGAACUUAGGGUUCACAAAAUUGAAGAGAUAAGGAAGAAAUUGAAACCAAAGAGAAGAUGCAAAGCCUUUCCCAAGGUUCUUGGCAGCUGCUCCAUGCUCCAUUUGCGCCUCCCCUUCGCAUCUCCAUCUCCAAUUUGUGACCCAUCUUUUUCCUUAACCCAAAAGGGGCAAAAUCACCAUUGAAGAAGCUUGAAGACCCAAGGAGGAUUGGGAGAGCUUCCCAACACCCCAAAUAGCCUCUAAGGGCCUCUCCCAAUCUCUCUAGGUGAAUAAUGAAGUGUAGGAGGAGAAGUCUCUCAAAAAUCCCGAGAGCCAUGUUUAAAUAACCAAUUUUUGACAUAUCAGCGAGAACUCGCGCCCAGCUCGGAUUCCUGGCGCCCAGCGCCACUUUUCACUGCAUCAGAUGUGAAAAACAGCAAGAUCUCGCGCUCAGCACCAAUUCCUGGCGCCCAACGCGGAUUCUCUCUACAGCUCUGGCACCCAGCUUGGAAUUCUAGCGCCUAGCUUGGAUUUCUCUGCAACUCUGGCGCCCAGCUUGGAUUUCUAGCACCCAACUUGGGCGGUUUUGACAGCAUUCGAAAAUUUAGGCUCCUGUGCGAUUCCAAAGGCGUCCAACAUGGGUAUUUGCUUCAGAUUGAUCUUUUAUUGUCCCAAAACAUGUUCCCUUGAGUUCUUGCAUGUUUUCCUCCACUAGAAUUGCUUCCUAUUCCUUUAUUUCACACACUCAAACAUAGAGAUUAGAGGUAAAAACAAGCAUAUACUAAAUAAAUACAAGAAAACUAGAAAACACACUAAACGUAAGGAUAAAACAAAGUAAAAGUUAUGAAGGAGUUGAUUUUGCCACUAAAAUGAUGCUUAAAUAAUGGUAAGAAUUAGCAUUAUCAGCAGGUAUCACAAACAAUGUCAAGACCCAUUUGCACAUAAGGAAACUUUUCACAUAUCUCUUUUACAACUUUGUGUCCAUGAUGGCCUAGCCUAUAGUGCCACAAAUUUACAUCAACAUUUCUAAAAGAAAAAGUAGACUUUGAAAUGAAAAUUUGGUCCAGAUUAGGGAAAGCUUGUAGGUAAUAAAGGCCUUUGCAAGAGUUAGUAUACCCAAUAAUCUUCAAUGUAGAAUUCUCCCUUAUCUUACAAGUCUCAGAAGAAAAGGUUAGGUUGCAGUUUAAGUCUUUAAUAAGACUUUGGACAGAGAUUAGAUUAAAGCAAAAAUCUGGAAUAUAUAAAACAUUAAAAAUAACAAAGUCUUUAGAAAAUUGCACGAUUCCUGCAUGCUCAGUAGUGAGUGCAGUGUUAUUUGGAAAUCUGAUAGAGAUAGCCUUGAUUUUUUAAAAAGUGAUAAAAUUUAUUUUAUCAUGUGUCACAUGAUCUGUGGCACCAUUGUCAAUAACCCAAGAGAGAUUACCUUGUUUGUUUUAUGUGUUGUCUCUCUGUACUUGAUUGACCUUGUGAAUGGGUUCAUCAACCUUCUCCAUCAUUUUAAGGAGUUUCUGCAUCUGUUCUGGGGUAAAGGAAUUAAAGCUAGUAUUGUUGUUGGUUUGAUGAGUGUUCUGCAUACCUUCUGGGCAAGGAUUGCUCUAGCAAGCAUUGGCAGAGCCCCAAUCACCCUUUUUGUCUUGAUUGUUGUCACCCUUCUUAUACUAAGGUGGGUAACCGUGCUUAGAAUAGCACUCAUCCAUAGUGUGGUUCAUUUUGUUACAGUAGGAGCACUGUUUUCCAUAGUUGGGGUUCCUCCCCUUUCCUCUUCCAUGACCAUGCUGCCCAGCACCACAUCCUUGGCCUUUCCAGGUCUGGUCAGGUUUCCAGUAACCUCUUCUCUCAACAAUAUUAGCCAGGAUUUUGGUUUCAGUAAUGGCCAAGCCUGAGUCUUGUCUUCUUUGGCUCUCUUGUUGCAUUAUCAGUAAGAAAACUCGAUUGAUAUUGGGGAAAGGGUCCAUCAAAAGGAUUUGGGUCCUCACGGUGUUGUAGGUAUCCUUUAGCCCCUUCAAGAAACAUAUGACAUGCUCCAUUUCUCUGUACUUCAAAGAAAUCUUGGAGAGCUCACAACUGCAUGGGAUGUUACAGGUACAAGUGGGUAUGGGUCUUAAGGAUUCUAAUUCUUACCAGAGAAUCUUUAAAUAUGUGAAAAACUGAUUCACUCCUCUCUUCCCUGUUUGAUUGAAUGAAUAUCCUGGAGUAAGUCAGAAAUUUUAAAAUAAUCACCCUUGGCGAAUCUUUCCUUUAACUCAUCCCACAGUUCCUUUGCUUCUUCAACAAAUAUCACACUUUCUACAAUCUGUGGAGAAAGUGUCUUUAUUAUCCAGGAAAGAACCAUCAUAUUGCACCUUUCCCAAGCAUCAAACAAAUCCUCACUUCUUUAGGGUUUCUUGAUUAACCCAUCAAUGAAUUUCAUUUUUAUUCUUGGAAAGCAGGGCUCUUCUCAUGUUUCUGCUCCAAGAAGAGUAAUUAUUUUCAUUUAGAACUUGAGUUAUAAGGGUGAGUCUUGGGUUCUCCCCUGGGUGUAGGUAGAAGGGACUUACUGGGUUAAUUGAUUGAUCCAUUGGGAUAAUUGACUGAUCCACUCGUCUAGCUGAUUGAUCCUGGUCUGAUUGAUCUUUAGCUGAUUGAUCCAUGGCAGAAAGAAAUAAUACGAGACCCAGAAAUUAUCCAAGAAAAACCAAGAAAUAGUCCAAGAAGAUACCAAGAAUGAAGACAAGGGCAACGGAAGUAGAGCAGGUAUUAAACCUGCUCUAAUACCAUAUUAGAAAUAUGGCCCAUAUAAUUUUGGUUGGGAAAACGGCCCAAUACGCUUGUGGCCCAUAAAGGAGAUAAAAUAUCUCUUGUCCACCUUUGCCGACAGAGAAAAGUUUCCACCUGUGUGUGAGUUAGCGAGAGAAUCCUCGAAGCUUCUUUUGGAUGUUAGAGAGAGAAGCUGGUCGAAGCUCUUUGCAACCUUAGGAGCAUGGCGAAUGCGAGAGUGGAAGAAGGCGAAGUUGGUGAGAACAAGUAAAAAGGUAAGAAAAAUACUAUCUUUCUUUAUUUAUGUGAAAGUGAAUGUUUCGUUCUUUUUCUUCUUACAAAAGAGACGGGGAGAGCUCUAUUUAUAGAGCUCUUUGAGAAACACGGCGAUAACUUACAUAACAAGAAAAAACUAACAAAUAAAAGGUUGAUUACUGUCAUUUUGACGAUAUUCUAAAACUUAAUAAUAUAUAUAUAUAUAUAUAUAUAUAUAUAUAUAUAUAUAUAUAUAUUAUAGCUUAGUAACACAUUAUAUGUAAAAAGCAUGGAAAAUAGGAGUUGUUAUUCGGUGGACUUUAAGCGCGGAUCUAUUCACCUUUUAGCAUUGCUGCCAUUUUGAUUCCUAUAAAGUUAACAAUAGUGGUGGAAAAUGGGUACUUUUUCAGUUUAAUUUUAACAUCUUUCAAUAUCUUAGAAUCCUCGUAGUACAUUUUAAGGACGUCUUUGAUGGUUUAUUUAUUUUCAUAUAAAAGUCUCUUUUAGGAUGUGUAAGUUACCCUUUUUUUUCUCAAGUCUUCUAAUAAGUCAAUUGAUUGGAAUAUAACUUUUGCCCUAAAACAGUUCUCAUCAUUUAUGUAUUCCACAAUUGCCAAAUUUGUGUUCGUACUAUAAAUCCAAAUUCAUUUCAUUUCAUAGCAAUUUCAUUGUGAUGCUAUUCAAUUUAUAGUUUUAUUUUAUUCAUUGUGUAAAUUUAAUAGAUAUUGUGAUAAAAAACCAUAAUAUACGGAUCUUGCUUAGCUGAAAUGCAUAAUAAAUAUACUAUAUGUACCUAUGGGCUCGACGCCUACUGGACCAUAAUGAUUUAGACUCGUCACCUAAGACUAGUCUCCAUUGUUCCAACUUUAUAGAGUGGUUUAAGAAUAGACUUGUAAAGACAUGGUCGGACGACAUAAGACGGACGAUCUGUCAAAAUUUGUUAUUUACGCUAGGACUGAGGUAAGAAGUGAUUAGGAUUAUUAGGUCGGGAUUAGGCCAUGAUUAAGAUUUCACUAAUCCUAUGUCCAUGACAAAAACUGUAAUUAUAGGUCAAAGGUAUGAGGCAGGUUAUUCACAUUUACUGCACAUUUAUUACCGUUCCAAAUUUACUGUACGGAUCAUACACUAACUUGAGUGUCAGAGAACCUUUGGCAAGUGCCUGACCGCUCGGCUUGGAGAAGAAGGAGACAAUAAGGUGAAAUCGGACGACAUUGAAGAACAAAUAUUGAAGGUGUUAGUAGUGACUCGACCUCGAAACCGAAACAUUUUGGCGCCCACCGUGGGACCAAGUGACUUGAUACCGAAUGGUGACCACGAGAAACAUGAGCAUAGAAGAUCUAGUCAAGAUGAUCAGGAUGAUGCAACAGAAGAUGGAGGAGAUGCAGCAGCGUCACGAGGCGGAGAUGGCGACCGUUAGAGAAGAGUGCUCGGUUUUGAUGGUUGUAAGACCCGAAAUAAAUACAAUAAACUAUAUUAUUUUUUUCCAAGAGAGAGUUUUUCUCAAAUAAAAAUGAAUCUUAUAGAAUUUAAUAUUUCUGUUGAAAUUAUGAUUAGUAAAUUUUAUUCACUAAUUUAAAGUUUUCUUUUAUAUAUAUAUAUAUAUAUAUAUAUAUAUAUGGAUGAAGAGGAAUUUAAAUACAAAAUUGAAUUCCACGACCUUGGAGGAGUAUCUGAUUGUUGUAUAAUAAUUAGUUCAACCAUAUUAUAUCAGAACCAUCCCAAGAGAUAAUAAAGAAAUGAAAAGAAAGAUUACUUUGGAAUACCCGAAACUAUACUACUUUGUCAGUAACUUACUAGUACAAAAAACACAUUUUAUGACGUACAAAAAUGACUUAUUAUGACGUAGUUGCUGGGGGUCAUAGUUCUGGGCGACAUAGUAAGUCUGCACAUAUUAUGACGUAGCAAAAAUUACGUCAUAAUAACUUGAACAUAUUAUGACGUAGCUAAAAAAAUAUGUCAUAAAAACUUGAUUUUUUUUUAAAAAAAAUUACAUGCUUACAUAUUAACAUCCAAUCAAUUUCCAAUUAAUUUUCGUGUUUUAUCAACUAGUCAAAUAAAUUUAUAAUCAAUAUAUUUGGAAGUGAAUAUAUUUUUGAUUGAAUAAACAAAAUAAAAUUCAUUUCAUAUAUUAAAUUGAUCAAAAAAUACAUCUUAGAUCCAAACACACAAGAAUAUUUACACCUCCAAAUAAACAACAUCUAUAUUCUUGUGCCUUAAGCGAGGUAGAAUCUGAACCUCAUUCAUGAACUGCAUAGUACACCUAGAGUUGCUUUCAUAAUGGCGUUUCAAUUCAGUUGUACGUCCAUCUUUGAGUUCACCUGUUUAACAAAUAUAAGAUGUAAAAGAAAAAAACAGUUAUCUUUCCAGGAAUCAUAUCCUAUGCAUCUUUAGAAUAAUUAUAUCAUUGUAUCAUAAACAUAUGGUAUGUGAUAGAUGAAUUGUAUAUGUGCAUCAUGGACAUGUAAGUUAUUUUGUUACCUUGGUAAACAAGGUCGAAACAUCCUUCACCAAAUUCUCCAGAAGCAUCAAAAUUUUUGAUAGCUUCCUCCAGUUCCUCAUUAAACAUUUGACUUUACCAAUCCAACCAGCAACAAAAACUCCCACAGCAAUAUAAACAAUAACUGCAAAGAUAAUUGCUCAUAAAAGACCAAUAAUCAAUAUUAAAUAAAUUAUACAAAUUUUUUCAUUAACUUAUAUAUGGUUUAUUGUCAUAUAUUUUUUUAUUAAAAAGUAUGAAGGGAUCUGCAUAAUACAUUAUAGGGUCAUUAAAUAACCAUUCAGUCUUUGUUAUUAAAUAACAACAUUAAAAACUAAGAUAAAAUAAGAUAAAAGAAAAACUAAAGUAGAAAGUAUAAUGAAGUGCUAAAGAAUUAUGCUCCCCUAAAAGGUUGAGUGAUGGUGAGCCAAAAUUUACGAAGAUAAUUGCUCCCCUAAAAAGUUUCCUUUUUUCAAAAUUUAAAUAAUAAAAUUAUUAAAAAGUUGAGAUAAACCACGAUAGCAGUAGAACAUGAAUUAGAACUUCAGCAUGCACAUUAUCAAGUGGAAAAGUAUGUUUGUAAGAUUCGUAAUAAAUAAAAUAAUUAUUGAUUUUAGUAUUUUAUUUAAUUGCGUGAUUUAUAAUUUUACAUGGUCAAUUGUGAUGUGUUAUUGGAUAAUGAAAUUAUGGUUGAAUGAAUAUGAAUUAUGUUUAAUUUCCUACAGCCUAGUAAGGCUUUUUAUUUUGAUGAGGUAUGGUGGGGUCCACGAAAGUGUGAUUGGAAAAGAGGUGGGUCAUUAUGGUGUUAUGGGAAGUAAGAGAGAGAAAGAGAAAACUGUUUACUAUUUUUUUGGAUACGUGAUAGGGUAGGAAAUAUAGGNGGGACUUGGUCUUUGGUUUUAUUUAUUAAGUAAUUAUUUUGUUUAGAGAGUGGCAUGCACAUAGAGGUAGUUUUUCUAACGGAUGCAACGGGAGAAAAUAAGGAAGUGGGUUUGAGCUUUAGGAUUUUUCUGAAGGCUUAUAAAUUAGCUUAGAGGAAAAGGAUAGAGUAAGAAAACAAAACCCUAGUUUUUGUGAGUGAAAAAUCGUGACUGGGAAGGACAGCUGUGGCAAGAAAGGUGAUCGUCAACGUUUUAUUUACAUCCGGAACAGUGAGGAAAUCCAAGGUAAGGGGAGUAACUAGUGUGUGUUUAUAUAUUGUGUGAUGUUCUUGAUCAUCUUCUUGCUUUACUUUGAAUCUUUUCCCCUUGUGGUUAAGAUGGGGUUGCCCUUAUCAGGUUAAUUNGGAUACAUUCCAGACUUAGGAGAAAGUCAAUGAAAUAAAUGUAAAGAUGUAUGCGUGUUUGUAGUACGUGAAAGAAUAGGGAGAAGAAAGUAGGUUGCAUANANAAGGGUAUAACUCUCUUGGUAUAGCGGGAUCUGUUGCGAGUUAAUGGUACAAAGAUAGUUUAGGGUACGAGGAGUAGUUCAGGAAAUAUCAUGUGAAAGUAGGGUUUGGGAAUGUUGUUACAUUGCAUGGCGUGGUGAUAAACGUUUCGUUUCUUUGAUUGUGAAACUGGUAGGGAGUAAACUGAAAUUCUCUGUGGUUGUAUAGGUUUUAAUCUUUUACUAUUAAUAAUGCUGGACGUGUAAUGUAUACCUUUUUAAAUAUAAGUGUAUGCUUCGUGAGAGAAUGGUGUAGUUGGAGGAGGGUCUGUGACCCUAUUCGGGUAAGGUGAAGGAGGAAAGGGUUGUUUGUGUGACAUAUGAUGGAGAGAUGUGUAAGGGGUCAUAACAGUAGUAAUAGAGAAAGAGAGAAAUUUUGGAGAAAGUUUUGGGUUGGAGUUUACGUUUACUAGUGGGGAAGUUGUCCGUAGGGAAGUUUAGUUUUUUUUCGCAUUCUGCAUGGGAAGGAGAAGUUCUGCAUCAUGGGCGCGCUAUAGUUCACGUGAAUGAGAGUGUUGUAUGUCCAAGUUGUGUAUGUUGCAGUAAAUGAGAAAUCAGUGAGUGUAUAAGAAGGAAAGGUGGUAGGUAUGGUAAAUAUUUUACAAUAGGAUGUACCCAGUAAUUGGACUUUUGCAUGCAGAAUAUAAAAAAAAAGGGGGUCACUUAGAUUGAAGUAUAAGGAAAAGGAAAAAGGGGUAUGAACCUUUCAUUUGCCACGGUCAUUUCAAUACUGGAAAGGCUUUACUAGUUUAGCUCCAGAGAAUAAUAUACUUAAGUUUAUAUAAUAUAAUAUAUUAAUAUAUUUUGAAUUUUAUAAAUUAUAUAAGUAAGCAGUAGGUAGUUACGUAACUUAACAUUAUUAUAAUAUAAGUUUUAUAUAUAUAUAUAAUAAAAUGUGGUUACGUGGUAGAUAAGGAAUUUUUUUUUAUUUUAUUUUAUACAUACGUCAGGUGGUAAAAAGGGGUGCUUUAUUGUGUAUCUAUAACAUGAUAAUUGUGUUUUCCGUUUCUUUGUCAGUGUUCUUCGUUUGGAAUUUUGUUAUGUUUUACGUUUUGAAUUUGAUGGUUAUAUGUAUAUUACUUAGAGUACAUGUGUAAGGGAUUGAGAUGUUAGUUAUAAAUCAAAUCUUAUGAUUCGUUAGCGAUGUGUGGUAUUGGAAAUAUGUAUGAAAAGUUUUGAGGUUGUGUUAUGAGUGUUGUAAUUGGUGAAUAAUGUAUAUUGUAGAGACUGUGUAUUUUGUGGUUAGUGCGAUAAAUCUUAUGAUUUGUGGAGGGAUGUAUGAUAAUGAGAAUGUGCAUGAAAUUGUGAUAUGAACAUGAAACUGUUAUUUCCUCAUACUUUUGUCGUUUUGUGUGGGCUUUUCGUGUUGCGAUACGAUAAGGAUUAUGGGUCUCGUAUGGAGACAAAGAUUCGAGUGUCACUUUCUUUUGCGAAAGGAGGUGAAUGUCUCGCCCAAAGGGCUUUUCGAUAAGUCGGGGAGAUAGGUCUGAAGUUGCGAUGGAGGACGACUCGAAUUGCCCUGUUUUGCGUAACAGGUUGGGACGACAAAGUACAAGGAAACAACAUCGGUUUAUGAAUGAAUUGAUUGUGAUAUUUUCUCUGGAGUAGACAUGCACUGUUUGACUUGUUAUAAUUUAUACUUAAUGCUUAUUUACUGUAUUAUAAGCUAUGACGAUAAUUAUAGUUACUCACCCUGAAAGUUUGUGGUUGUGGUUUCCACCUGCCAUGAUCGUACUUGUACGGGAGCAGAUGGCGUUGCAGAUGAUGCUGGAGUGCAGUAGUUCGACGAGAGGGGAAAAUUAGUUCUUUUGGGAUUUUAUUGAUUUCGUCAUUUAAAUUUUCUUUACAUAAUGUUUCGAUAAAGGUUAUGUUUUGAGUUUUGCGUUGUAAGAAUAGUGUUUAUGAUUCGUGAUUUUAGCUUCUGCGAUAUUAUUGGAAUAAAGUAUUUUUUUUUUAUUCGAAAAAAAUCGAGUUACAGCAAACUAUGUAAGGAUGAUAUUUUUUCUAUUUCACAAGUGACAUC